CAGUCGCCGCGGUAAUACAGAGGGUGCGAGCGUUAAUCUGAUUUACUGGGCGUAAAGCGUGCGUAGGCGGCUUCUUAAGUCGGAUGUGAAAUCCCUGAGCUUAACUUAGGAAUUGCAUUCGAUACUGGGAAGCUAGAGUAUGGGAGAGGAUGGUAGAAUUCCAGGUGUAGCGGUGAAAUGCGUAGAUAUCUGGAGGAAUACCGAUGGCGAAGGCAGCCAUCUGGCCUAAUACUGACGCUGAGGUACGAAAGCAUGGGGAGCAAACAGGAUUAGAUACCCCUGUAGUCCCUGUCUCUUAUAC
rnacentral:rRNA from 1 species